rnacentral:rRNA from 1 species
UACGAAGGGGGCUAGCGUUGCUCGGAAUCACUGGGCGUAAAGGGUGCGUAGGCGGGUUUUUAAGUCAGAGGUGAAAUCCUGGAGCUCAACUCCAGAACUGCCUUUGAUACUGAAAGUCUUGAGUAUGGGAGAGGUGAGUGGAACUGCGAGUGUAGAGGUGAAAUUCGUAGAUAUUCGCAAGAACACCAGUGGCGAAGGCGCUCACUGGCCCAUAACUGACGCUGAGGCACGAAAGCGCGGGGAGCAACAGG